rnacentral:lncRNA from 9 species
AUGAGGAAUAAAAGUUGGUCCAUCUGCCCUCCCCCUGCGCGAAGAGACUGUUCCUACUUCGCCAACUGUGAGGGAACCGGCCUGUCUUUUCUCUGGGCCAGGAUCAUUGUCCAGGGCUCCCGGCUCCCAUUCUGCGGCUGCGGAGGCGCCUCCAUCGGGAGGAGUCCGGUCUGCGGCCGGCAGGAGCCAAUCUGCCCAGGCCCACCUCCUGCUUCCUGGCGUCCGCUCCAGGCAAGGAUGCUGCAAGAGGAAGGCUGCUGUCUCUGGGUACAGCUCCAGAAAUGCAACUCAAAUAUGCACCAGCCAAGGAUGUGUUAUUAACUCGUCCUCUACAAAAAGAGUGGGAAAUCCAUCAGCCUGGCAUCUCUACAAGGCACCUGGCACCAGUUAGUCCUGUUCUGAGUUAGUGGCUCUGUGCAAGAGUGCUUGAAAGGGAAGUGCAACUAUUUGAAGCGCUUUGCUAGGGUUUUAUUGGGGAUUUUCUUUCCAUAUGAGGAAAUGGUUCAUUGCCCUGUUCUCCACGGUACCUGCUAUUUUGCCACGGGUGAUGUCUCUGUUUGUGUGUAUAUCCAUAGAUGCUAGGCUCUUUGGCUGUAGCUAUCUGCACUUUAAAAGCACAAGGAGUGAGGAUGAAACCAUGGCAAACCUUACUUCUUAAAGCGAAAGCACCAAACCAGAACUUUCAAAGCUAUCUAGCUCUUUGAUGAAGCAAGAUUAAAAAUUGCAAGCAUGAUUGAAAAUUCGUUUUCCCUGGAAAUAAGAAAGAAGAAGAAGAGAGGGGAGCUGGAAGAGAAGAGGGGAGCAGCAAAAAAGAAUAGAAGAUAGUAAAAUUAAUAUCUGUUUCUUUUAGAGGAAGCUUUUCAUAUCAAGUACUGGAGAUUUCAGUUCUGGAUGACCUGGGAGAUUCUGAGCUGUUAAGUUUCCAUCACUUGAAAAACAAAACCAUCUACGGGAAGGCCUGAGUGGGAUCCUGGAUUGGACUGCAUAUUGUUCUCACCUCUUGUUCAAAGAAGGUGGGGACCAGGAGGUGCGGGAAAGUCAUGUUGAAAGAAUCCGGAGAGGGAGUUCCUGUCGUGGUGCAGCAGAAACGAAUCUGAUUAGUAUCCAUGAGGAUGCAAGUUCGAUCCCUGGCCUCAAUCAGUGGGUCAGGGAUCCAGUGUUGCCGUGAGCUGUGGUGUAGGUUGCAGAUUAGGCUCAGGGAUCCCCUGUUGCUGUGGCUGUGGCAAAGGCCGGCAGCUACAGCUCCAAUUAGCCCCCUAGCCUGGGAACUUCCAUGUGCCUCAGAUGCAGCCCUGAAAGGCAAAAGGAAGGAAAGAAAGGAAGGAAGGAAGGAAGGAAGGAAGGAAGGAAGGAAGGAAGGAAGGAAGGAAGGAAGGAAGGAAAG